rnacentral:misc_RNA from 1 species
AAUUAGGCAUCGUUCGGCUUACUGUACUUCUAUCUUCAGCGUUCGAAGCAUAAGCUUUUGGGAAACUCUCUGCGCCUCUUUCAUUUUCUUCAAUAUACGGUUUCUUCCAUCUCCCUGAAACGCUCUCUUUUUUCUCUCACAAAUCAAGGCUUCCUCAAAAUUUCUAUCAAAAUCUGGUAAAUUUUCAUAUAUAUAUUUUUUCCAUCUCAAAUCUAUGAUUUUUGCCUUGAAUCGCUGUUUUGUGUGUGUUUUUUCCUUCUUGUUUGAAAUUUCUACUUCUCUUUGGAUGUUCUUCUUCAAAACUGUGAUCGACCAGUUUGAGUUUUGGAUCUCAAAUUUGGGAACGUGCGAUCUGGAUUGCAGUUCCGUUUGGGGGUGGUUGAGUUUUGAACGAUCAUGGUUACACGGCUUUAAUUGAGCUCGUAUGCUGUGGAUUGAAGCAUGAACCUUAAUGUUGAAACUUGGAAUUGCAAGCCAGUGAGCUUAAUAGGCUCAGUUUGAGGAAUUUAUGGAUGUUGAUUGGGAGAUUCUUAAGUCCUUUACCAUUAGCUUGAUGCAGAUUGUGUAAAAGGAAGCACCGAUAAUGGAGUUUGCCUGAGGUGUUAUAUCUUUUUCAAGAGUUGACAGUUGCACUUUUGCAGAGGUUUUGUUUGUCUUCAGGGUAGGCCUCGCUGAGACCUUGAUUUUAGAAUGGUUCUACACUAAAUAGGCUUGUAACUGGCUGAACUUAGGUGUGCACACUAGCUUGAGUUCUAUCAAUGAAUUCAAGAUUGGGUCAGUUUCAUUUUUCUAUGCUCGCUUGGUUAGGCAUAUGAAUGACAUUACUGAAAAUACCAUUUAUCUCCUUUGUAGAAAGUUGUGGACUUACAAUGGUAAUUGAUCAUUCAUUUUUCUUGCAAACUGAAUUAUGAUAUGUUAGAUUAGCUUUUAAGUUACUAAAUUAUUGCAAUUCUUUUGGAGUCCUAAUUUCAGAAGUUUUCAUGUAAAAAACAGAAAACUGGAAGAGACGUACAAUAUUUGGGGAAGGGCAUUGACAGAUUGGUUGGGAUGAAAGAACUCGUUUUCUAGAAUUAUACCUGAUAUGAACCUAUGAUCAACAUUUAUUAUUUUUUUUCCUCUUAUCAUGCAUUCAUACUUAUGUUUUAGACUAUUAUUGUUUGUAAUCUCACAUGAUCAGAGGAAUACAUCUUGUUGUUCUUCGCUUUGCUUUAUUUUUACUUUCAACUUUAGGAUCUACAAACCUUCAUUUGGCUAUGUUAUGCAGGAAGAUAUUUCUUGUGAUCCAUUGGAGGAUUUCCAAACAUAUAUUCCUUUAUUGUUUAUCUAUCAUUGCUAUACUAUAUGGACUGAGGUGCACAUUUCAUGGGAGGAGUGGAGGAUGAUGAACCAGCCUCAAAACGCAUGAAAUUAGCUUCUGGAGAGUUGAGAGGUCUUUCCAACGGUUCUUCUUUAGCAGAGACAACUGUUGAGUCUUCAAGGGACUUGAUGGCUCGGCCCCUGCAAUCUGAAGGGGACGAUGAUGUUGUUGGCUCAAAAGGAGUUAUUAAAAGAGUUGAAUUUGUCAGAAUAAUAGCCAAGGCAUUAUAUUCUCUUGGAUAUAAGAAGAGCAGUGCUCAUCUAGAGGAAGAGUCAGGCAUCCCUUUACAGUCAUCUGCAGUAAAUUUAUUUAUGCAGCAAAUUCUUGAUGGCAGUUGGGAUGAAAGUGUAGCUACUUUGCAUGACAUUGGUCUAAAAGAUGAAGACAUUGUUAAGUCAGCCUCUUUUCUGAUAUUGGAACAGAAAUUUUUUGAGCUUUUGGAUGGGGAGAGAAUCAUGGAUGCUUUAAAGACAUUGAGGACUGAGAUUGCUCCUCUUUGUGUCAAUAAUGGUAGAAUCCGUGAGCUUUCUUCCUGUAUUGUUUCUCCUUCAUUGUGUGCUUCAGUUGGGUCUUCUAAUCAAGAUAAUGCAAAGAUGAAGUCUCGGUCAAAGCUGCUGGAGGAAUUGCAAAAAUUGCUCCCACCAACAGUUAUAAUACCUGAAAGGAGGUUGGAAUAUUUAGUUGAACAGGCUCUUACCUUGCAAAGAGAUGCUUGCAUAUUUCACAACUCCAUGGACAAAGAAAUGUCAUUGUACACAGAUCAUCACUGUGGAAGAGAUCAGAUUCCAUCUCGAACUUUGCAGAUAUUAGAGGCACAUUCUGAUGAAGUGUGGUUCUUACAAUUUUCACACAAUGGGAAAUACUUAGCUUCAUCGUCCAGUGAUCAAUCAGCAAUCAUAUGGGAGGUUGAUACAAAUGGAGUUUCUUUAAAGCAUCGAUUAUGUGGUCAUCAAAAACAUGUAUCCUCUGUUUCCUGGAGUCCUGAUGACCAUCAGCUUCUCACUUGUGGGAUGGAGGAGGCUAUAAGGCGCUGGGAUGUUUCUUCUGGUGAAUGCCUCCAUGUCUAUGACAAAGCUGGUCUUGGCCUCAUUUCCUGUGGAUGGUUUCCAAAUGGGAAAUGGAUAUUAUCUGGCAUUAAUGAUAAGAGUAUCUGCAUGUGGGAUUUGAAUGGAAAAGAGCUAGAGUGUUGGAAAGGGCAACGGACUAUGAAGAUAUCUGAUUUAGAAAUAACAAGUGAUGGGAAGCAGAUCAUAAGCAUGUGCAGAGAAACUGCCAUCCUGUUACAUGAUAGGGAAGCGAAAAUUGAGAGAGUGAUAGAGGAGGAUCAAACAAUAACUUCAUUCUCAUUAUCGAGAGAUGAUAGGUUCUUGCUGGUUAAUCUUCUGAACCAGGAAAUCCACCUUUGGAACAUAGAAGGUGGCAUCAAGCUUGUAGCCAAAUAUAAAGGUCACAAACGUGCCCGCUUUGUUAUUAGGUCUUGUUUUGGGGGACUGGAACAGGCUUUUAUUGCCAGUGGCAGUGAAGACUCACAGGUAUAUAUAUGGCACAGAGGGUCCAGAGAGCUCAUAGAGGCAUUGCCUGGUCAUUCUGGGGCUGUUAAUUGUGUGAGCUGGAAUCCAAAAAAUCCACAUAUCCUGGCAUCAGCUAGCGACGAUCAUACAAUUCGAAUAUGGGGCUUGAAUUGUCUACAAAUGAAACACAAGGGUGCUCACAGUCACAGCAAUGGCAUCCACUACUGCAAUGGGAGAACUUGAAACGAAACUGAGCAUAAAAUCUGAAGAUAAAUUCUUCUUGACCAUUGCUAUUGUGUAUACACUGUUUUCAUUGCCGGAAGACAAUUCAUUCCAAACAAAAAUAUGAAUCAUGCAGCAACUUUCUUAUAAUAAAUUUACUAUCA